UACGUAGGGUGCGAGCGUUGUCCGGAAUUAUUGGGCGUAAAGGGCUCGUAGGCGGUCUGUCGCGUCGGGAGUGAAAACUCAGGGCUUAACCCUGAGCCUGCUUCCGAUACGGGCAGACUAGAGGUAUGCAGGGGAGAACGGAAUUCCUGGUGUAGCGGUGGAAUGCGCAGAUAUCAGGAGGAACACCGGUGGCGAAGGCGGUUCUCUGGGCCUGUACUGACGCCUGAGGAGCGAAAGCGUGGGGAGCGAACAGG
rnacentral:rRNA from 1 species